rnacentral:lncRNA from 1 species
GGGAUUCCUAGAGGGGUGACAGAGGAGAAAUAUAAAAUACUGACCCACAAAGUCCCAAAAGAGAGGACCUGGAAUCAGACCUGGGUUCAAGUGGCCCUCUCCCGGCUGCUGUGUUUCCCAGGAUCUGAGCGAAAGUGCCGACCAAGGGGUGGAGCUACGCGGCCUGGAGGGAGGGGUUCUGGCGCACAAGGCGUCCCACCCACUCCACUUCCCACCCUCAGUGUGAAAGGGCAGGGCACACUCGCCUGCACUGCAUAUUGCAGGGGACCAGGCCCUCCCUGGGCAAACAGAGACUUUGCCAGACAGCCUCACCCACAAGCUGCUCUCAUUCUCCAAAUCCAGGUUGCUGCUCGUUUAAAAUAAACUGCAGUUCUCCAGGGACCACUGAUCACAACACCUGCCUUCCUGGUUCCUCAGUCCUCUCCCCGGGGAGCAGGACCCCUGGUAGCCCACAAGGGAAGGCAUGCAGAGGAGUUCCCCCCAGACUCCUACAGCCGGAAGACUGUGUUGGAGCAGCUUCCCUCCGGUGGGAGGCCCUUAACCAGGUCCCCUGGGCAGGAGAGGACUCCCACAAUGCCAACUCCAGCCACCUGGCCAGCCAUUCCCCGAAACGCCUUCUUCCUGGGCACCAUGAGAAAUAUCAGACCCUGCCUGGUCCCCAGGCUCAGAAAGCCUCAAACAAGAAGUGGUGUGUGCCACUGGCCUGGCCAUAACUGUUCCUAAGACCUAGGGCACACUUCUCAUCCAAGCUUGAAAGUGACAGAUCACUGGGUAGCCACUCCACUGCUCUAGGUCUGGGGAGUUCCCCUGGCUUCUGGAGCAGGCAAUGGCCCAGGGGACAGAGUCUAACUCUCAGUAUUCCCACUCUGAUCUCAGAGCUGCUUCAGACUCAAAUCCUCCUGCCCCUGCAGCUCCUGGAGUACUCUGGGCAGCUGGCAAACAGAAGAUCAACCAGGAGAGCCGCCAGGAAUGCUCACCUGGAGAGGAGGGGGCAGGAAGAGGAGGGAAGUGGAGGGGCUGACCUCCAGGAAAGUUAAGGAGAAGAGUGGCAGCCUCCUAGGAGAGCAAGCUCCUCUCAACUUCCCAACCUCUCUGGGAACUUUCCUGGGGCUGCACCCUGGACUAUUCUUCCUCCGACCCUGGAGCCUAAAGAGACCAAGGGCCCUGAGCAAAGUCAGGGAAACUGGCUGUAUCUGCCCAGCUCCAGAUACCCCAACACAUAGCAUCCCCAGGGCAGGCCUUGGGCACCAGCCCCAGUAAGUACGAGGACCAGGGACAUGUUAGUCUAAUGAAUGAAUGGAUGGGAGAGUAGAUGUGUAAGAGAUGGGAAAAGAUCUGAGCUAUCCUUCUACUAUAUAGGCAGCUACGUUUGAUAGAAAUUAAUACACAGUCAGAGAGGGACAGGGCUGUCAAGGAAGUCAACAACAGCAACAAAACAAAGACAUGAGAA